UUAAGUUCAGCGGGUAGUCCUAUCUGAUUUGAGGUCAAAUAUUUAGAGUACAUUUCAUUGGUAGCCCUCUUUCCACGACUCGGCCAACACGCGAAGUGUUGUCCCCAGCGAAAUAACCUAUCACGCCAAGUCAAGCCAGAUGUCGAGGUACGAUGCUGCUCAUGCAUUCCAGGCGAGCCAACCCCGGCUUGGGGGCCAAC
rnacentral:misc_RNA from 1 species